rnacentral:rRNA from 1 species
UACGUAGGGUGCGAGCGUUGUCCGGAAUUAUUGGGCGUAAAGAGCUCGUAGGCGGUCCGUCGCGUCGAAUGUGAAAACCCGGGGCUCAACUCCGGGCUUGCAUUCGAUACGGGCGGACUAGAGUUCGGUAGGGGAGACUGGAAUUCCUGGUGUAGCGGUGGAAUGCGCAGAUAUCAGGAGGAACACCGAUGGCGAAGGCAGGUCUCUGGGCCACUACUGACGCUGAGAAGCGAAAGCAUGGGGAGCGAACAGG